AUUCUCCUGGGGGUCAGGGAGGACUUCUUCUCGGUGGAGGAUAUGGACCGCGGGGAGUUCUUCCUGAGUAUGGCCAUCACCGACCGACGUGUGAACCUCAGCUGGGAGGUGAUCAUUGUCUAUGGCCCGGUUGAUCACGGGCGGUCGGUGGGUUUCCUGGCCGAGCUACAGGAUAAGGUUGAACGGUGCACGACCCCAGUGGUGGUGGCGGGCGACUUCAACCUUAUCAGAACGGAGGCUGACAAAAGCUCGCCCAACAUUGACCGACGGCGUAUGCGCAUGUUCAACGAUGCCAUAGCUGCGAUGGCCCUCCGUGAGAUAGCCCGCAUAGGGGCUAGGUUCACAUGGACCAAUAAACAGGUGGACCCUAUACGGAGCGUGCUGGAUCGGGUCCUUGUGUCCGUGCAGUGGGAGGUUAUGUUCCCACUGUGCUCCUUACGGGCGGUCACUAGGAUUGGCUCCGACCACGUCCCCCUGCUGUUUGCGUCAGGGGAAGGGUCCCCACCGAGAUCUAGACGCUUCUAUUUAGAACCAUCGCGGCUCCUGCAGCCGGGGUUCGUCGAGAUGGUUCAUGACCGUUGGGUGCAGGCUACUCUAACCCGCCUCGGUCCUUCUGUGCCACAGACGUUUGGCAUCACUGCUCCAAAGUCAUCCGCUAGUUUAUGCGGGGUUGGGGCGCCAACCUGGGUGCUGCCCUGA
rnacentral:rRNA from 1 species